ensembl:snRNA U6 U6 spliceosomal RNA
GUGCUCAAGUCUGCAGCACAUCUACUAAGAUUGGAAUGAUACAGAAAAGAUUAACAUGGCCUGAAAAAGAAUCAAAUGAUAGAAUCUUAGAGAUGCACAUAAAGCUG